GCUCACUCUCUAUCUCCCUCCUUCUCUCCUUCACUGUCCCACUGUUUCUUGCCAUCUAUUUCUCUCUCCCACUUUCACUUGCCUGCUUUUCCUAACUCUCUACUCCUCUCUCCCUGUUUCACUCUCUCCUCCAUAUUUCUCCCCCUUCCUCCCUCCCUUUCCCUGUCACCCUCUUCUUUGCCUUGCCCCCCAUUUCCGUCUUAUGCUGUUUGCUCCUAGCGCCUCCGUCCACUUCUCACUCCAAUAGCAUCUCCCCAUAUUGCCCCGCUGCCUGCCAGAUCCCGCGUGCGUCCCGUGCUGUUUAAGCUCCGCCCCCUCCUGCCCUCCCGUGCUGUUUAAGCUCCGCCCCCCUCCUGCCCUCCUGCCCUCCCUCCCCCUGAUGGUGAUCUCACUCAGCACGCUGUCAGCCACUGUUGUUGGCAGAUCGGAGCCCUGCUGGUGUUUUUCAUGGGCGGAGCCACAGUGAACACUUUCCCCGGAGCAGAGCGCAGGGCCCAUCCAUCAAGCUGCCUCUCAUGCCGUCCCGUCCGGAAUGAGUUGCGACAGAGGACUUAACAGGGUCCAGAAGAUAUGAUUCAAUUACAGCCGCGGAUAAUAUAAAAAGCCAAUUCAAUUACUGUGCUCUGAGUUAUCGUAUUUGACCGCGUGUUUGGUAAAUGCCAUCUGGACUUGAAAAAAACAGGAGUGUUUAUGAAAAGGAAGAGGUGCGGAAAGCAGGGGAGGGAGGACAGCUCGGAAAAAGACGACAGCAGGAAAAGGGCACGGUGACAGGUCGCGUAACACCGCGUCAGGCGCGCCGGGUAAUUGCACUUUAAGCGAGGAGGCGUGCUGCAUUCCUCUGUGUUUGUGACAGUUUUAUUAAGAGCUGUCCACCCGCCCUGGCCCUUAGUGAAGUAAGGGAGUAUGGAUAAGGGAGGGGAGCGCAGCUGAGGGAUGGACUCGGGGCAGGAAUGUCUCUGAUUUAAACUUGGCUGCUUGUCCUUUUUAAAUCAAAUAAAGUGAUGAGUUUGGGAGCUGUGUGUGCUCCAUUAAGCAGAACCAGA